ACUCACUUUCUCUCUCAAAAUCUCCUUUCAUAGUGGAUCUAAAUAGGCUAAAACGAGAGGGCGUUCUUGGUGUUUUAUAAUAGAGGUUCGAUACGGGGGAAGAUAAUGGAGUUAGGGUUUUUCUGUUGAGGUCUUUUGUGAUGGUUCGAAGUCUUUAUUCGUCAAUCGUCACCCAAAAGGCCAAAAAAAAUCAAACGCUACUUUACCCCUCUCGGCUGAAACACAAUAGCCUUCGGCGACCGGCAGGCUUCAGUGGUUCCCUUUCGAUUGAAAUACAACAGCUCUCCAUUAUAUAUUCAGAGAGCACCUGGCUCCUGAGAUUGAAAAGAGACGACGUAAGUUGAAGAAGGUAGUAAUGUAGGAGAAGAAUUCGGCAAUCAGCUUGAUGAAUGACACAAAGUAAUUUGCCCAUGGAGAGGAAACACCUCUGCCGAAAGCUUAGUGCAGUUCCCUCCUACGCCGCCAUCAGCCCUAAUUGGUGGUUUUAAGGCCAUUGUGACAGAUUGUUUCGGUUUCUCUACCUACCAAUUGUGGCUGCUUCCACAUUUGACCAGAUGAGGGUCUCUAGAGGCCCGGAAAUUGACCGCUUUUUGGUUCAGUCGCAUACUUUCGCCACAUGGGAAUCAGGUUUUAAGGCAGACAUCGUAUCUGGUUCAGAUAAUGCCAGAGAAGAGGCGUUAUGUAUAUAUUCACGUGUAACAAUGGUGGUUUUGUGAUUUAAACUGGUUCAAAAUUUAUGUUGUUUGUUCCGGAUCUUUAUGUUUACAAUGGUGAUUUUGUAAUUUAACAUGCUCCAAAUUUAUGC